rnacentral:tRNA from 1 species
GCGAGUUGUAGGCGAUGGUGGGCGCCAGGUCACUGGUGAUGUCCACCAGGUCCGUCACCUGGAUCGGUGCCGGGUAGCUGGCG